UAUGUAUCCCUGGCUGGCUCAGAACUCACUAUGUAAACCAGGAUGGCCUCAAACUCAUAAGGAUCAACCUUUCUCUGGCUGCCUUGUCCUGGGAUCAAAGGACAACCAGUGGCACAGGAGCAUGGCACAUGUCUGGAAUCCCAGCACUUGUGAAGUAGAGGCAAAAGGAUCAUUCAUAUGUUGGAGGCUAGAAUGAGUUAUUUGGAAAUAAUGCUGAAGCACCAGAAUACAAUUAUGAACAAUUUUCAAAUGGAGCAUAUUAUGGGCAGGUAGCUAAUUUUUGAUCUGGAAGAAACUUUAUUACAGUUUAUCUUUUGAUCUAAAUUAGCCAAAAUG